GGCUGAAAGCAAUGAUGUUGCCAUUCAUCCUUUCACGUAUUCAUUAUGGUCUACAGCUGAGAAGGGCUAUUUGGGGUUUGCUUUGCCUGAUGGUAGCAGAAGAAAACCAAGAGGCCUCUCUACGAAAGCUUGCAGUAAGGAGAAAGUUCUGGAGACUGGGAAGAGCAACACAAAGAUAUUCAGUUGCUUGGUGAGAGCUGCUCUCUGCUUCCAAGGCGGCACCUUGUUGCUGCAUUCUCCAAUGGGAAGGAACGCUGGGUCCUCACAUGACAGAAGGUGGAAAGCUUCUUGCCCUCGAAAGAAACAGGGAGGAAGUGGUCAUGUAUGUCCAUCCUGCCCACACAAAUAAAAGUACAGAAGCUCCUCAACUUAUGGUAGGGCUACAUCCAGAUACAUUCACGAUAUGCUCUGAACAUUGAUGAUCAGGCCCCGUGUUACUAGGAAAAACCCUCAGCCAGAGAAGCAGAGAGACACAGAGCUUAGAAACUGUCAGUAUUCCAUGAACUUCCCUAUUCCUGUGGAGAUCUUACUAGUAAGCGGAAAGAUAAAGAAGCUGAGCAUGGAAAUGUGUACUACAGAGGGUGUGAAAGAGAUCACCCUUUAUUAAAUGUCUACUACAGAAGACUUGAGGCUUUGCCUCCUGAUCUCACCUUCAAGAAUGAGUGAAUAAUUUGUGUACAUUUUCUUGCUUUUCUUUUCCUUUCUUCAAUUACCAUUGCCACUAGUACCAAUAAAAGCCGAA
ensembl:lncRNA LINC01435 long intergenic non-protein coding RNA 1435